rnacentral:rRNA from 1 species
UACGGGGGGAGCAAGCGUUGUUCGGAUUUACUGGGCGUAAAGGGCGCGUAGGCGGCCACCGCAGGCCAGUUGUGAAAUCUCUGGGCUUAACCCAGAACGGUCAGCUGAUACUGCGGGGCUAGAGUGCAGAAGGGGCAGCUGGAAUUCUCGGUGUAGCGGUGAAAUGCGUAGAUAUCGAGAGGAACACCUGCGGCGAAGGCGGGUUGCUGGGCUGACACUGACGCUGACAGCGCGAAAGCUAGGGGAGCGAACGGG